AAGGCUCAUCUUGCUUGUACGUGAUUUGAGUCAACAUUCACAGUCUCCACCUUUGACCUAAUCACCAACCGACGUUUGCUUUUGUUCCUCGGUUUCUCAGAUUUCUCGAUCUCACUCCACCGCGACGUUCAGCUCCAAAGCUUCCUCCUGUCUCUGUUGCACAUCUGAGUCUCUCAAUAAUUGUGUAGUCAUCCUUGCAUGUAACGCCGGUGAAUCCUCUGUUCAUUAUCACCAUCUGACCACAAGACCUGAAGAUUUGAUACUGAAGCCAAUCAAUCAAGAUAAUUACCUUUCCGCCAGACACAUGUAAGAUAACCCGAUGCCACUUCCAAUUUCGGAUAACAUCUUUUGAGACCGGAUAUAUGAUAAAUUUCUGAUUUUCAUUUAUGCAUCUCUCGAUACUUGAAGCCGACCAACAACGGCUUGUUUGAACUUCAAUUCAGUUCCUCCUGCGACAAUACACGAACGUCACUAACUGAACACGAGCUACGAUGACCUUCUCAGAAUAAGAAAUCCAAAAUCCAACAGAACUUCAAGAAUUCCAGAUUAAUGGGAGAGAUAGAGAAUGCCCACUUUAAGGUGAAUCCAAACCACACAAGAAUGAGAUUCCAAAUCAACAAAGAAUCCCCUACAGGUUUCCACAAGCUUUCAUCAGGCGAUCACCUUCAGGAACUCAAGCCCCUUCUCGAGCUUGUUUCCAGGAACCAGAUUCAAA